AGCAAGACUUCAAGAUUCAGGGCUCUCCAGAAGCUCACUGUUGCUGCUUCAAGAGGAAGACCUGGGACUUAGAUUACAAGCUGUCAAGCAAGCAAACUUAAAAAUGUUGUGACAUCCACCUUGUGAAAACAGAGGUUAAUGAAAGGAAGUAUGAAGCACAUCAGAGAAGGAAUCCAUGCACAGGGUUGCAGCAAUGACUUCGAUCGCACUUGCUUCGUUAAUUACCUGGGCCAUUAUAUCAUGGCAUUCCACCAUAUUCCAGACACUAAUACCACUAAGAAAAUACUUUGGAAUCUGAAGGCCAUAGGCAUGUGGUCAAGUUACCUUCAGUUCUUCUUGGAGGUCACAGUGGUAUUCAUACCAUGGCGCACUGGCUCUCUGAGUUCAGUUUGUAAACCCUGUGCCAGCUUCAUCUUCUUGAAACCAGCACUUCCAUCCUCUUCCUACACACCACUGCUUUGACCUAUGCUGGCCACUAUCUGGUGCUUCCCAACUACACCGAAGAGGAGAAAAAUCAACUUUAUUAUACUGUGAAAUUCAGAAACCUGAACAAAUAAAAGUUUGGGAUCCAUUUGAACGCCAGCACGCCAUUAUUCCAGGUUAUGCAGGCAUGCAUUGUGCUGUGAUCAGCAAACUCCAGCUGCUGGAGAAAAGGGCAAAAGCAGUCCUACUUGCAGGUCUGUAAAACUUAUUAUUAUACUGGUAAUGCUUCCACAGUUUCUAUUUCUCAUCCUUCUCCAGUACUAGAUGGCAUGUUAGUAUUAAACUCUUACAGAGCAAAAUGUCUCAGUAGGCAACAAUGUAGGUAUAUUGUGGGCUGCAACUGUAGAAUGGUUUUGAUGUUAUCUUGGGUUUAUUUUCAUUUGAGAAAUGAUGGGUACUUUCCCCUUUUAAAUGGGAUAUUGAGGACUUAAAACUUUGCUAUCUGAUGAGGUCAAAUGGAGCCCCAGAAUAAUGCUGUAUCUGCCUAGCAGCAGCUGACAGGCUAGGGAGCAUGCAGGCCCCCUCCUUGUCCCUGCACUGGAGCACUGGAGGGCAGGAUCCGUGAUCCCAGAUACCAAUUGCUCCCUGUCUCGAGCACUAAGCUGUUUUAACGGCUCUGAUUAAAGUGGUCCUCAGACAACAGUUAAAGACAUUAUUCAAGGCCUGAAAAACACAAAGUCCAGAGAGGACAGGGUCAAAAAUAGUCAAAGAAUGAGAAACAGGAAGUAAGGCAAUAACAGCACCAAAUAAUCUUCAUGCAAAUAGCAGAAAUUUGGGGGAUUUUUUCGUGGUUGUUUACCACAGGUUGCAUUUACUCUGGGCUUUUAAGGUCCAUUUAAUUUUAAUUUCUACCACUCAGUAACUUGUCAUGUAACUCAAAUGGCAAGAAAGCAGCACCUCAUACAAGCCUGAAAGGGGGACACAGCUUCUGUGGCACAAGAAUGAACGCUGGGGCACCUGUGGGCAAAUGAAUUAAUUGCACAACCUCUGUUCACCUCCCUCUCCAUAAAAUAAACCAACCAACCAACACUGUUCCUCCACUGCCAGCAAAUGCAGCUGCUGCCAUAACCUCCCAUUGUACCUGUCAAGGCUGCUGCCUCCCAGAUGAACCUUUCCAUGUUCUUCACUGGAAGGUUACAAUUGCAAGAAAAUUGCAGUCUUUUCCCCAAAAGUAUGAAACAAACUUACACACCUAAAACUUGUCAUAUUUUAAAAUUCAUACUGCAUAUAAUUAUAUAGCAUCCAGUUUGCCUCCCACAAGAAUCUGUGCCUCACUGAGACCAUGCAGGGGCAAAAUGAAGUUUGGGAUGGUAUCUAUAAGCCUACCAUUUCCUAGGCUGACUGCUGACCUAAAUAAAACUUUCAGUAUUAGGUUUUUCCAAGAUGUAAUUUAUACUAUGGCUGUCAGGAGUUAAGAUAGCAGUUGCCAUGGAGCUUUAAUCUUUUUUUAGGCUUUAGUCAAAGGAAGCUAGAAAUCUGUAUGCUGGGUAGAACCCUGCUCAACAGAAUUUUAUUUAAAUUGGGACAGGAUUUUAUCCUAACUUCUCUUCUGAAAGUUAUUCUCAAAGGUUCUAGAAUUCUUUUUAGUUUAUUCAGUUUCCCAGCAGGAGACGAAAGUUUCAUUUUAGGCUUCUCAAAUCACACUAGAUUGAACCACAGAAGUACCCAAGUUGUUUCCUCCUGACUCCUCCAACUACAAACUGUAACUUUCUACUAGUCUUAAUGUGUGCAGCUGAUCACUAUAGUGAAAUUCAUUCAUCAGUUUUACCAUUUUCAGUGGAAGGACUCGGUAAGAACACAGAAGCAAAACUUUUGGGAGGAUUUUAUUUUCUACGUGCCCACUAAGGGCUAAUCCCUACACUGAAAACCAGGCUUUUGAAAUAGAAGUAAUUACAGUCUGAAUCUGUGUGUAUGCUGCUUAUAAUAUCUAAGAGCAGCUUGCAAUGCAUGAAGUGCAUCUCUGAGAAGUAUGAAACUGGCCAUGCUGUACAUGGUAAUAUGCUAGAACACAGUUGCAAAAGAACAGAGAUGCAGUCCGGCCUCACUUGCAAUUAAAACAUUGCUGACUGACUUAAAACUGAAGAAAUAGUUAGGAAAAAAAAAUGCAGAAUUUGCCAUAAAUAAGCUUUUAGAACUCUUACCCUACCCCAACCAAAAAUUCAGAAGGAUUCAGAUGUAAUAUGAGCUUGAUUUCAUGAAGAAACCAGAAUUCAGAGGCAGAUGACAGCUUCACUUAAAUGAAACAGAAUUGUCACUAAAUAGAAAUUUACUGGCCAAUUGUAGUGGAAAUCCACGAUCCUUGAGCUGUUCCAAAGACUGCAGGGUAAGCAGAACAUUGGCACAAGACAGAGGAUUUCAAACUUUUUCAACUCUUCAUGGCAUGUAUUUUAAAAGAGGCAUGGCAAUAGUAAAAGCAUCUUUUUUCCUUCCAAGAUAUGUAAGUCUGUGGGACUUGAACAGUUGCACAUUAACACCUGGUUUCACCACUGACAGCAAAGUGUCUCACCCAACUAGCACUGGACAGAAAAGCAAUUCUCGUGGGUUUGAGUGAUGGCUCUGUUCAACAUUUUGAGAGCAUCAGAUGCAAACUCAACUGUCCAUUCCACUGAAAGAAGACUUCUUUGGUAAAGUAUCUACUAGCAACCAGAAAGAACCUGAAGAAAACUAGAAUCACAAUGACUACAGGCAAAAGGAGCAUUUUGGAUCUCUUAAAAACAGCUAUUCAGAGACGUAAUUAUUCACUGUGCCCAAGAAAAGCUAUGCACUGUGAAUAGGAUUCAGAAAGCUAUGAUGGUCAAGGAAACUGCUUGAAGUAGCUCAAAAUAACUUUUGAGAGGUGAGAUGAAUAAGAAGUGCCUAUCCUCAAGGGCAGAUGCUUUACUCUGAAUUGCAGGUAGAUACACUGUUCAAGCUUUCCAGCCUGCCUUGAGCUAGGCUCCUAUAGGAACCUCACAAAACAGCAAAAGCCACUACUUUCCUAACCUCGUCUGACUGGUCCAGUGCAGACCUUACCAACAUACAGCUCAGUUCAUUAUCUGGUCUGUGGCAUUCCACAGGUCAAACCAUACUUGGACUGCCUCACAUUUACUCCACAGAAGGUAGCCAGGGUUGCUAAUCCUGACAGGAAGGAAGAUGUGCUACUUCUAAGCCAUAGCAUAAACGAGUUGCUUUCUUUUCUUCCCCCACAGUAUGUUUCUUUGCUGACACUCACUGAGUAGACAGGCUGCCUUUCAGGGCUAACACAUCCAUCAUUUGAUUUUAAAGCAGGUUUCAGCAAGCAACAGCUACCAAGAUAGUAUUAGUUUUGAAAUAUGCAACAGAAGAACUUUGGACAUAGUACUUGAUGUGUUAAAGCAUCUUUGUGACUUGCAGGGGCUUUUAUCAUUGCUUUAUUAGCUUUAGGUAUGGGGAGAGGGAAGGUCUAGAUUUCUUUGAAAUGGCAACAUUUAAAGCCAGCUGGGCUUUCUUUUCUUAAUAAAAGAAAUAUAUAUGCAGAUGAGAGGGAGAAAGAACUCCUAACCUCUUAACUUGCUGGUAUGAGAGUUGCUGCAGUUUUGUCCCCAUAGACUGGCUGGCUUUUAGGGGAGACCAAAGAAGGUGCAGUUCAGCCCAGCCAAGUUUGAAGACUAAAACCCCAGACUAAGACUCUAAGAAUCAUCCCUUUUGCAGUUGGGAAUGGUACGAGCCACAGCAGUGCUAAACUGAUAAUUUUUAAGUAUGAACUCAGACAAAGUGAAGUUAGAGGCUUUUAAAUGAGAAAAAUUCUUCAAAGUUAGGAAACACCAUCUUCUUUACAAAAACCUUCUUCCACUCUGAGAGCAUCCAAAAUAGAAAGUCCUUAGAUAAAAUCAGGGAAGAACGAGGCAUUUCACUUACCACCCUUCUGUACCAGUUUUGACACCUGUCACUAUCACAUCACCAUUUCUGUAUGUGUAGAUUAGUUAGUGCUUGGCAGGGAAAUAGUUACAACUACUUUAAAUAGAGAUAUUUUCAUUGUGCUUUUUAGCAGUCAACAGGUAUGAAUUUAGACCAGCAUACAGAAUGCUGCACCUGAAGAACCGGUACCUGUCACAGCUGGUAAUUAACUGGAUUUGGAUUCAAGCAGCUUACAUGGUAGAAUAAAGUAAUAUGCAACAACUGGAGAAAACCUGUAUUUAUCUUGUGUACUGUUUCAGACCUGUCAGAAUUCCAUAAUAAUAAAAAAAAGAGAUAUAAUACAGACAGCAAA